rnacentral:rRNA from 1 species
AUGGUAGUUGAAGUCAUGAAUGCACGCAUUGCUGAUCAUGAAAAGAAGGUAUGCAGGAAGUUAAUGGAAAUUGAGCACAGAUUUGAUGUCAAAUACCAGACUCUAGGUGAAGACUUGAUCGACAUGAAGACUAAAACUGGCACUAAUCCUAGGUUGUCGAAGGCCGAUGACGAAAUUAAAGACUUAAGGAGGGAACUCCAUGUAUGUCAUACUGUGCAUUUUGUAUUUUUUAUGAAUAUGUUCCUUCAUGAUCAAGUCAAUGUGUGCAAUUCAUCCCUGACAGGAACUCCUAGGGCUAGCCAAUUCAUGACAGGGACUUCGAGUACACCAAGUGCAAGACAUGUGACGGAAAACAAAGAGGAACCACAAUUAACUCCGAUGAAGCAUGUCUUUGGUAAUGAUUACAAGUUCACGGAUGAGGACAUAGAGACAGCCGUUUACAUCCGCGGAACAUAUGACCCUGUUGAAAGAGCUAGAAUCGGAGACAUUUCCCUCACAGCAGAAAAUCUGAAGCGAAAUUUGGACGACAAAUACAUUUAUGGUGAUGUUAUUAUGGCAUAUGCUCGCAUUAGCCAAAUUGAGAAUGAUACUACCUCAAUCAUAACCCCUCAAGAAACCGAAAAGCUGUUACAAAUGAAGGGGGUGGUUUCUGUUGGACGUGCAACCUCAUGGUUAGCUCGUGUAGCAGGAAAAUUUGUAGGGCGCUGA